rnacentral:rRNA from 1 species
UACGAAGGGUGCAACCGUUGCUCGGAAUCAUUGGGCGUAAAGCGCACGUAGGCGGCUCCAAAAGUCGGAUGUGAAAUCCCUGGGCUCAACCGAGGAAGUGCAUCCGAAACUGCGGAGCUUGAGUAUGGAAGAGGGUCGCGGAAUUCCCGGUGUAGAGGUGAAAUUCGUAGAUAUCGGGAGGAACACCAGUGGCGAAGGCGGCGACCUGGGCCAAUACUGACGCUGAGGUGCGAAAGCGUGGGGAGCAAACAGG